rnacentral:tRNA from 1 species
AAUGAAGUGCCUGAAUAAAGGACUAUUUUGAUAGAAUAAUUAAUGUAUAAUAUACCUUCAUUA